rnacentral:lncRNA from 1 species
UUCCAAUAGCACGAGACAAGUGAUCUCCUCGAAGUGUUUUAACAUCCUUGAUCUCAAAGGACUCAAUGUAGAGCUCAUCCAAACGCAGAAGAGCAAUGGCAUCUAUGACAUCAAAACCCAACAUGAAAGCAUGGACAAAAUCAGCACAUUUUUGCAGGUUACUAAUAUCAGGUGUAUCAGGCCUUGUCUUCAGCUCCACUCUACGAGCCUUCAAAUUCAUACGGACAUCAAUUUUCAUCUGUUCAUAUAUGGGACUAUAGAUAUCCAUCCAAGCUUUCUUGAGAGGGGUAUAACGAUGAGGUGGAACAUUCACCUUGCGGAACUGUACCUGACCAUCAGACAUCUCAUGAGGCUUCAAAGGCUCAAACUUUGGCUUUGGUGGCAAAAGUUUGGCUUCAGAUGGGACAGUCUCAACUUCCAUGGAAGAAGCUUCCUGAUUUGACUCCAUUCUGCAACUGUUCCAAGAGAAAAACCAAAUGUUGAAACUAAAAUAUACAAAAUGGAAACAUAGAAGUUAAAUGUAAACAAGCCAAAUCCACUUCUGCUGUGAACAUGAGACCACACCACAUGUUAACACCAGAAAAACCAACGCUUGUUAUUUCUUUAUUAUAAUUCCAUGUCUAAUGUGGCUGCCAUCAAGACUAUGCUACGAAGCUUAGAGCUAGUUUCAGGUCUGAAGAUUAACUUUGCCAAGAGCUGCUUUGGGGCCUUCGGAGUGUCUGAGGAGUGGGUGAAAAUUGCUGCAGACACAUUGAAUUCUAGAUUGCUGCCGUUGCCCUUCUCUUACUUGGCGAUCCCCAUUGGAGCUAACCCAAGGCGGAGCGAAACAUGAGACCCAAUCAUUGUGAAGUGUGAAAAGAGAUUAAAUAAGUGGAGAUAGAGACAUCUCUCUUUUGGGGGAAGGGUGAUUUUGAUAAAGUUAGUCCUGAACUCAAUUCAAUUCCUAUCUUCUAUUUUUCUUCUUCACAGUUCCCAAGAAGGUGGUGUCUAAGCUGGAGGGUCUGCAGCAAAGGUUUCUUUGGGGAGGCGAUGUGAAGCAUAAGAAAAUCCCAUGGAUCACUUGGGAGACAAUUUGUCUUCCAAAGGAGAGAGGAGGAUUGGGCAUUCGGGAACUGAAAAAGUUUAAUUAUGCUUUACUUGGAAAGUGGCGAUGGAAUUUAUUCCACUACCAAGGUAAAUUAUGGGGGGAAAAUACUGGAGUCAAAGUAUGGUGGAUAGAGGAAUCUAGCCAGCAACAGGAGAAGUAACAAAGAAUCCAUAUGGUGGCAUAAUCUAGGUGCUGUAUGUGGCUCUAAUGCAGAGGGAAGAUGGUUCAAUGAGAAUAUAAAAUGGAGUAUCGGGUGCAGAUCAAACGUUAGAUUUUGGGAGGAUGGAUGGCUUGACACUGGAAUCUGUAUGAUGGACAAAUAUCAGUGCCUUUAUUGUAUCUCAGAACAAAGACAACAGUUUAAUUAUCAGAUGGGGCGACUGGUAGAUGGUACCUGGGAAUGGAAUCUAUUAUGGAGAAGGGAUCAGCUGGAAAGUGAACUGGCCUUGGCAUCAAAUUUCAUGGUGGAUGUGGAGGCUCUUGGGGUGGUUGGGAUAAGGUCUUUUGUGGGUGGGAUUUAUCAUGCUCUACAUCACAGUGUUUUGGCACUCUAAUAUAUACUGCAUUCAGAAUAUAUUAGAAUCCCAAACCGGAACAGUGAUGGUAAUAGUGUGAUAGUAUGUACAGAAAUAGUAGCUCUGGUACUGCUAACAACUAUCAAUCAUUAUUAAUAAUAUAUAUACAUACUUUUGUUGAUAAAAAAAAUAAUUUUGUUUAUAUUUCAUUAAAGGAAAUUAAAAAAGAUAAAAAACCUCAAGGUUGAUCCUGAACCAAAAGAAAAAGCAAGCAAACAUAAAGUUAAAUUUAUAAUGAACCAAAAGACAUAAAAGGUGAAGUUUAUGGCAAUAGAGUUUUUUCUAAUAUUUUUUUUCUACUCGGCAAAUAGAAGCAAGUAAUACUAUUAAACUUCACAUUCACUCAUAUAAUUCCAAUAGUAAUUAAUUAUUCCGUUUAAACAAACAGCUAAAAAACCAGUUCCUGCGAAGUGACUCCUGGAAUUAUUUUCUCACUUUGCCUUGCAUCAAAUCAUGAAACCAUGCUUAAAGGCAGACACGGGCACACAAUCACACUCUACACCUAUUUUUCCACCCAUCAUCGAUGCAAUGACGUGCUAUGUUCAUAGAUUGUGAGCUUGAAUCUCAUUUUUGUAAAGAUGGACCCAAAAUAAAUCACCUACACAGGUCCUUCAAACAUCCAGUCUUGCUAGUUUUGUAAAGGCAAGGAGCACACUACCAUAUUGAUUUAUAGAUUCAGGAUUCUACAGUGAACUCUUCAUCAAAGGCAUAAGGUACUAUACAUCAACCAAAAGAAUGAUUUAAAAAUAACAUAUCACACUGGGUUCUACUAUAAGGCACGAUACAGAAUUCUUCUGAACACCUAUUCGAUUUGUAAAACAUUUGGGCAUAUAAGUUUCCCUGAACAAGUAAGCAUUUUUCAGUAGCCUACCGUUUUCUCUUAAGAAACAAUCCAAAAACAGACCAACGAGAUUAAACACAACAGCAUCCUGAACAGGAGUAUAUUACCCACCAAAUUUCUUUUUCCAAAGAUUCAUAAACCCACCAAAGCCCUUUUACAAUUGAAUACAUGGAAAUAAAAAUCGAAAAGGAGAAAUAACUCACGUGAAGAAAGAGACGGUUACGAUGGCGCCGAUGGAAGCGGUGUGCGGUGGCGGCGCGAGAAGACGAGUCGAGAGUGAGAGAUGAGGUUAAGAAUGAAAACUGAAGAUUGUGUCUAAAACCUAAUUCAGAAAAAAUAAUGAUUAUAACUCGGUGGGUGAACUCAACCCGACCCGACAUUAACCCAUAUCGAGUUCGGGCUGAGUUAUUCGGGUAACGAAUUGAGGGGAAUUUUUUUCAUGUAAAAGGCAUCAAAAUUGGCUACUCUGUCAAAUAUAAAUUUUAUAGCAAAUAUUUAUUAAAUUCAUCAUGGACGGAUACAGGAAUGUAUUAAAGGAGGUCAUUUUUUCACAAUAAUUUAUAUAUCUAAUUUCCAAUAGAUGAUUAUUUGAUCAAUAAUGAGUUUUAUAAAAAUAUUUAUUAUUAAUUUUUUUCUAUAAAUAUUUUUUUUAUUUGUUUUAAUUAUGUCCCUGCUACGGUGCUACUAAUAUGAAUAAUGUCAUAUAUUAAUAUGACUUUUUUCAAGUACUUUUAUAUUUCUUUAUUUUAAUUUUCACUGUUUUUAAUCAUAUUAAAUUUUGAUAUUUAUACAUUAUUAUUGAUGUUAUUAUGAAUAAUGUAAUUCACAGUAAAUGUUGUAACAAUGUAAUAAAUGAAAAUUAAAUUAAAAUUAAAAGUUAUGCAAAUUAGUACAUCAAGAUUUAGCUCAAAUCUUUAAUAUCUUCAUGGAUUAAAAGCGUCAUUUGUUUUAAUAUGGAUAUAAUAAGAUGUGUGGCUUGGUAAAAACAUACAAUUUCUAAACCGUGUAAGUGGUUCUCCACUCCAGCACUUCCCAUAAUCCUUCUCAAUAUUUUUAUUAGCAAUUUCGAAAAUAAUCUGUCAUAAUCAACCAGAUUACUAAUAAUGUAUAAUACAAUCUGCUGAGCGGGGUUGGGGGUAAUAUGUUUUCGAAAUUAUCAAAUGGAAACACUUUUUGAAUUAAUUCCCAUAUAAAAAAUUAUGCUAAUAUGAAAAUUAAUUCAAAAAGUGUCUCCGUUUGAUAAUUUUGAAAAAAAAAAUAAUUACCCCAAAUAGUAAAAAAAGCCUCUGAGCGGUGAGCGGUGCAUGUAAAAUUGGUAUGAUGGAAUUUGCAUCCAAGACAUCAUACUAUAUAUCUAGAUAGAUAAGAAAUUAAUUAGGUUUAUUUCGUAGCUCAAUUGCCAGCCAUGAGUUUAUAUAUAUCUAGAUAGAUAUGAAAUUGAGUGAGUACAAUUCAUCUUAAUUGCUUGUGUAUAUAGAUUAGAGCAUAACAGUUACAAAUUACUCUAAUCUAUACUAAUGUAAUGUAUUCAAGUUCAAAGGCAAAACUUAACCAGGCAAAUUGGGAGACAGAACUUAACCAGUUUUUUUCUGUAACAAUCAAUCAGUAAACAUUCAUAAAUUACUCUAAUCUAUACUAGUGUAAUGUAUUCAAGUUCACAGGCAAAACUUCACUUUUACAGAGAUGCUCUUACACCCACAACUUUGGUUUGAACUUAACAAAUAGCUGAAUUGAAUGAACCGAAGCAACUUCCUCACAAUACCUCAUCCUCAUCAUACUUGAUCUAAGGGAAAUUAUAGAAAACUCUAUGGGAACAGAAAAAUGAUCCUGUUUUGUAAUUGAUUAGAAGAAGAUCAAAACCUUUCUGCCAAUCUGGCAGUAACUGCUCUAAGUUUUGAAUACACCUUUCCUGCGGGUGAUCCCAGGAUCAGGCUACAGAGAGAGUCCCUGGCAAUCUUUAUGUUGGCAAAAGAUCCCAAUAUGUGAAUUUUGGUGUCAGCAAUCACAAUCCUUGUCUUUGAUGCAUUCUCAAUUGCGAACUUUGUUUUACCACCUUUACCAGAUAACCUUCCAAUAGCACGAGACAAGUGAUCGCCUCGAAGAGUUUUAACAUCCUUGAUCUCAAAAGACUCGAUGUAGAGCUCAUCCAAACGCAAAAGAGCAAUGGCAUCUAUGACAUCAAAACCCAGCAUGAAAGCAUGGACAAAAUCAGCACAUUUUUGCAGGUUACUAAUAUCAGGUGUAUCAGGCCUUGUCUUCAGCUCCACUCUACGAGCCUUCAAAUUCAUACGAACAUCAAUUUUCAUCUGUUCAUAUAUGGGAGUAUAGAUAUCCAUCCAAGCUUUCUUGAGAGGGGUAUAACGAUGAGGUGGAACAUUCAC